AUUUUAAAUGUAUAAUAUUAUUGGAUGUUCUUUGCUUUUGUAGUGUUUCCAGAAAGGAUAAAUGAUGUCUUGUUUUGUUUUUUUUUAAUGUUUUAGUUGGAACUACUUUGCUUUCCUUUUCCUUGCUAGUUAGAAAAUAGACAUGAACUUUUGUUUAAAUGUAUUUUUGCAAGGAUCAAAUUGUUACACCUAUACACACAAGUUUAAAUCCUACAUUGUGGGACUGAAGUGCUCUUAAGAUACCUUUUUUAUUUUUGCUGUGUAAUAUGCAAAGCGAAAGGGAAAUUAUUUAAUGCGUAGUGGCUCAAAU
rnacentral:lncRNA from 1 species